CUUACUUAGAAAAUUUAUUGACGGAAAUAAUACUUAACACUAAGUGAAACUAGAGGUGAAGGUCUUUGAUUGUAUAUUAUUAAAAUGUGUGCCAUCAUGGUGAUCGCGCCAAAUUGGGGCGUUAAAGGGGUGCAACCACGGCAUUUCUUACGCGUCACCCAAUACUAUGACUCUUGGGAUCCCACAUAUAUGACUCAGUAUUGGGGUUAUAUAUGUGCAAGCAGACGGAAUUUUUCCAUUGUAUUGCAUGUGAUUGUGACUGUAAGUGAGUGUUAUAACACUUAGUGUUCAGUGUACGAGGCAUCAGAUGAUGAUUAUGGAACAAUAUUUCGAAUUCUGUGGUGCAUUCCGGUUGUUCAGAAGUAUUGAAAAUGAGUGACAAAAACGGCGCACACAAAGUGCCUUGGAAAAUAGAACAGAUACUGGCAGAUUUCAACAACUUGACAGCUCACAAAAUAAAUUCGCCUCAUGACCAUACUAAACUUUUAGAUAUCUAUCUUGAUAAAAUUAUGCCUGAAAACGUACCCCAGUCCAGCUCAUUAGAUUUUUCAAAAAUAAAGGAACUGACCAAAUUUUCGAACAUCGGUGUGCAGAACGAAAUUCAGAGAUUGAUCUCAAGCGAACCAGACAUCGUUCUAAUUAUUGCUCUUAAAAGUGUGAAGAACGUGUACGAUCUCUAUUUUGUUUCUGAGAAAAUAGAUAAAAAGAACAAGAAAACGAAUAAGAAAUCAAAACCCAAACUGAGGAUAAAUGUCAUACGCGCGCACGUGUUUGAUGACGCCAUGCGUGACUGCCACGUGCACUGGUUCCAACUGACGUACGUGUACGUGUACCCGCGUAACUGCCGGAUGUUGAUCGGGAUUCCCGUGUACCAGGGAGGAUACAUACACAACAAGAAUGAGAAGAAUAGUCAGAUACCGUAUUAGAAAGUAUUUCGCAAGGAUGACAAAUCGGAAAUUGUAAACAAAUUUCAUAAUAUUUUGCUUAAGGUUUUUGUUUCCUCUUCGUAAAUAUCACUGUAUUAAAAAGUGUUUCCCAAUGAUGAUUAUCCGGAAAUAAUAAAAGUUUUCAUAAGAGUUUUAAAGGACAUCGGACACUAUCUAAAUACAUUUGCCUAUUUUUAUUGUUCGUUUUAAGCAAUGAAUAGCAAUAUAAUUAUAUAUAAUCGAUUUUGGUUGAAGUUAACUUUAUUCAUGCCUUCUACGUAUUUGUUUUGUGGGUUUGUUUUACAUUUUUUCCCGUUCAUGAACAUUUCAAUUAAAACAAUCUGUUGCAUAUUUCUUAUUUCAUCAAAAUGAUGUGCUCAUUUUUUUACUUCCCGUAUAUAAACAUGUUAAUUAGAUAAAACACAAAUCUAUGAUUAAACCAGUUUUGUCAUUUAAAGGUCCAAAAGGUAGAGAAUCAUCACUAAAUAUAACAAUUGUACAUGUAUCUGCCAUGUUCUUGAUAGUCCACGCAUGUUAAACCACACUGCGAUUUUCAUUGGAAGUUAUUAAACCAGUGAUCAACUUUUAUCCAGGUUAAUACAACUGAGUUGUUUUAUAUAUAUAUGACCAUUAACAUAUUUUGUUUUGGAUAUUCCUUAAGUAUUGGAUUUAUUUUUGUUUAAUCUGACAUCACGGUGUCAUACAGUAUCAUACAAGGGGCAUUUAGUAUGUAAUGUGGUACAUGUGUAUAUCUAUUUUUAAUUUCUUACCUCAUUGUAAUAAUCUAGCUUCAUUUUAGGUGUCCUAGAUUUAUUUUUCCCUUUUGGUAUUUUUAGAAUGUAUUUUUUUCUAAUUAUUGCAUAUAUAGAAUUUAAGAGUAAACAAGAUUUGGAUAAAAAUUGAGAAGAAUUCCUUGAAUAUUUUUGUGUUCUUAUUUGGUAUACAAGGGCGAACUUUUCUGAUCAUGGUUAUUUGGUUAACAUUUAAGUAUCAAUAAAAUUUUCACCAGUGCUAAAAAAUAUUUUAUGGAUUAUAUAACUCUGAAGUAUGUUACAGUUUAAAGCUAAUCUCACCUGAUUCAGAUAAGACUAUUACAAAAGUGAAGUUUUAGUGAUUUCCCUUAAGCCUCUUAAAGUUUCGUUUUGUAUAGGUUGUCCGAUAUAGGGAGUUACAUAUAUUUGCAAACAUAACUCUCAACAUAGCACAACUAUUGUAUAUAUAUACAUGUAUACCCUUUAUUUCUGCUUAUCUGUGAUUAAACAUAGAUCGUUAUUGCCAUGUUUAUUCAAUUAUUAGAUUUACAUUUUAAAAUAUUUUGAUUUACUGAACUUAUGAAGUUGAUGUAUUUGGGUAUUUGAUAUUUAUUUAAUUUUUGGUUGUUAAGUUUUGCAAUUUUUAUGCAUGGAUUACCUGCAAACACUUUAUUGUAUAUUUUUUGUCCACAUGGGCUAUGUCCUUCUGAAUAUUCUUUAAAUGAAUCUUGAAUCUUGAAUCUAUAAACCUUAUGUGGGAAUUGCUUGUUUAAAAUAUACUUAUUCAGUGUGUUCAAUGUUGCAUCUUUAUAUAGUUGUGUGUACUUUACAAAUACCACGCUUAGUAAAGCUGUUUUGUGAUUUUGUUUUACUCUUGGCAUUAUUCUUUAUUCUAGGUAUUUAGAUUAUGGCAUUAAUUAUUUGAAAUUGAUUUGUAAAACUGUUCAAUGGUAAAUAUAUAAGGAAUAUGUUAGUCGGGUGAUGCGUGAUGUUGUAUCGUGAAUAUGUAUCGCACGAGGCCCAAGACUUCUUCCACAAACAACAAGAAGUAAUACAACACCACGAAACAACCGACUUGCAUAUUUUUUUACUUUUUUAUAAUAUAUCUUCAAACUAUUUCUGAAUAAAAACAGCAAACAA